rnacentral:tRNA from 1 species
GGAUAUCGUAUAAUGGUAGUACAGCGGUCUCCAAAACCGCUGAUGUGGGUUCAAUUCCUACUAUCCC